rnacentral:rRNA from 1 species
UACGUAGGGUGCAAGCGUUAAUCGGACUUACUGGGCGUAAAGCGUGCGCAGGCGGUUAUGUAAGUCAGGUGUGAAAUCCCCGGGCUUAACCUGGGAACUGCAUUUGUGACUGCAUAGCUAGAGUACGGUAGAGGGGGAUGGAAUUCCGCGUGUAGCAGUGAAAUGCGUAGAUAUGCGGAGGAACACCGAUGGCGAAGGCAAUCCCCUGGACCUGUACUGACGCUCAUGCACGAAAGCGUGGGGAGCAAACAGG